UGGAUGCCAUAAAAAAGUAAUAGGCUUAUAAAAAUGAACUAGUUGUUACUACCAAAUCGAUUAAUUAUUUGUGAAAAUAUAUUGUAAGUUGUAUAAAAUUCCUAGUAUUGCAAUACAUGAAAGAAUAAAUCAGUUUCAGACAGUAAUGAUUGUUUGCCAACAAUGGCAAAGAGAAGAAAGCCAGCAACAAAAGCUCCGUCUCGUCGAUCCACUCGACGCGGGAAACAAGCAGAGGGAACAAAUACAACAGACGGAACAUCGACUUCGACGGAACCUGUCCCUGAAACAUCUACAGAGGAUAAACAGCCCCCUGACACACAUAAUGUUCCAGAGUCAACUUCUGGGCCAAAAAUAACCUCCCCCUCAAAUUUGCAGUCCUUAAAAUCAAUUUCAGGCAAUGCAAUACCAAUUGUGGCUCUCCAUAAGAAGUUUGGUAAAUAUAGAUGUUUGUUUAAUAAUGACGAUCGGUUCAGUAAAAAAUAUGAGAUUGGUAGUGAUAGUGAAACUAACAGUAGUGUGGAAAUCAGAGUUGUAGAUCCAUGUGCAAGUUCUGAAUCUGAUGCUGCAUUGGAUACUCAGUCUGACACUAACAGUGGGGCUUGUUCUAGCCCUCUUAAUUUACCUGUUAAUUCUUUAAAAGGAAAUUCAAGAGAAACGUCACCACCUCCUGUGAGUAUGCACAAUACACAAAGUGAAAAUGUGUCAUUAAUUGAUGACAACACGGAAUGUGAAGGAAAAACAAAUUUUAGUAUGGAGAGCAUAAAGCCUUUGGAGCAAAUUCAAAAUGAUAUAAAUAAAAACAUGGACAAUGAAGACAAGCAGUCAUUUCUUAAAGAUGUAGGUAUUAGUGAGCAAAUCAAUCAAGAUAAUCAUGAAAUGACAUUGGAGGAACAGUUAGAAUAUGGUGAUGAUGAUGAAGUUAUCACAAUAGUACAAAUUGUUGAAGAUGACAAUCAAGAACUUUAUUAUAAUAUUAAUAUUGAAAGUCCAAAUGAAAUACAACAGCAAGAAGAUGGAAUUAUAAACGAUGAACAGCACAAGGAGGUUGACUUCCAAAAAAAUUUUGCCAAGCUAAACCUUGUUCAAAAGGAAUCCAACCCCAAUUCUCCAAUGAAUUGUUGUGAAAUUAUUGACAUUCGGACCCCACCUUGUAGCACUCCAGAUAUACAACCUCCUAAUGACACAAUGACAAGACCUGAUCCUAGCUUAACACCAAGCUCCACACUAUCUGAUGACAGCAACUCCUCUCGAGUGACUGAACAGAAUACAAAUUUUUCUAAUGAUUCCUCAGAGUCUUCACCAACUGGUGUUCGUAGAUCAAGCCGCAUUAAAACUAUAAGUAACAUGAAACAGAAAACAAAGGGAUAUGGUUUAGUCAAAACUCCUUUGAAAAAAGCUUUAAUUACUCAAACAAAGUUGAAGUUAGAAGAGAUGGGAUCAGACAGUCAAGAUAGGUCAACCGAUGGGCUACAAAGUAAUACUCUUAAUUCCCUACCAUUCCCCAUUCCAUCUGAAAUGCCAGUAAAAGUAAAAUCUCGGUGGCGUAGGUCUAGUGAAUUAGAAAUGGGUGCCAAUUCACCAGCCAUCUCUCCUUUAGCCAGUCCUAGCUUACCUCAAAAGUUGCCACCAUUAGAGGAAACCCUAAAAGAGUUGGAAGAAGAGAAACCUUCCAGUCCAUUGACUAAAGAGGCUUAUGAUAGGAUAAUAGAAGAAAGGAUGAAUCAGUACCAACAUUUGGACGAGAAUGAGUACUUGUGUGAGCGUAUGAUUAGUAAAGAAACUAAAAAGAUGAUUUGUGAUUGCUUCAUGACAAAAGAUGAACUCGAACGAGGUGAACUAGCAUGUGGGGAAGACUGCUUAAACAGAUUACUAAUGAUUGAAUGUAACUCAAGAUGUCCAGUUGGUGAUCGAUGUACAAACAGAAGGUUCCAGAAAAAAGAAAAUGGUUCUUUAAGAGUAUUUUACGCUGACAAAAAAGGCUGUGGAGUGGAGGCUAGUUCAGACAUUACAGCAGGCGAAUUUUUAAUGGAGUACGUAGGCGAAGUUCUCGAUUACGAGCAGUUUUAUAAACGUGCACAAACUUAUUCCGAAGAGAACAAUCUACAUCACUAUUUUAUGUCGUUGAAAGGCGACACGGUUAUCGACGCUACACUAAAGGGCAACAUAUCGAGAUUCAUAAAUCAUUCCUGUGAGCCAAAUGCUGAGACACAGAAGUGGACAGUGAACGGUGAAUUAAGAAUAGGUUUCUUCAGUAAAAGAGAUAUUCCGGCGGGAGAAGAAAUUACCUUUGACUAUCAGUUUCAGCGGUUUGGUAAGGUAGCACAACGCUGUUACUGUGGUGCAGACAACUGCCGCGGCUGGAUAGGGGCCGAGCCCGACUCCGACGACGACUACGACGAAGAGGACGAGGAAGAUGUUUCCACUUCCAAAUCGGGAACAACGGAGUCAUCGGAGGACGCACAGAUGUCGGACGCCAGUGCGCAGCCCGCCAGGCCGCGCGUUCGCAAGCCCAAGCGAGAUAGAAAGUAUAAGCCGAAGGCGUCAGACCUCAUACAGGACGCCGACAUCGAGGAGGACCUGGAGGCGCUCGGGCGCACGGGAGUGAAGAACCAGGCGCACACGCUGCGGCUGUCGCGGACCGUGGUGCGCGCCAAGACGCGGCGCGCACAGGCCGCGCUGCUGCGUCUGCUGCGCGACGCGCACCUGCCCUGCCGCCGCCUGUUCCUGGACUACCGCGGCCUGCGCCUGCUGGCGCCCUGGUGUGCCGACGCGCCGCUGCCCUUCCGACUUGAAAUGCUCCUAACCGUGGAUCGGCUACCCAUCCCUAAUAAAACAAUGGUACAGGAGAGCCGAUUCUUUACAAUAGUGGAACGAUGGCUCAGUUCUACAGACAUCCCUGUAACGGAUAUAUCUGCACCAGAUCCUGUAUUUAUUGAUGAGGCUACUGGUUUGCCCAUUGAACUACCAAAUCGGACAUCACAAGAUGAAGCUGCUACUUUAGAAAAGUCGAAAGAGAAUGCUGCUAUCCUAGAAAAAGUCAAGGAUCUAUGUAACCAGCUAAUUGAGAGGUGGUCGAGUUUGAAGGAAGUAUUUAAGAUCCCUAAGAAAGAACGUAUACAGCAAAUGAAAGAACACGAAAGGCAGGCGAAUGUCGAGAGAAGAGCAGCAGACUCCAGCGGUACGAGAGAUCGCGAUCGUGAGCGGGAACGAGACCGUAGGGAUGAACGAGAUCGUGAUCGCAGGGAGGAACGUGAUCAUCGCGAACGGGAAAGAGAACGUGAGAGGGAGAGAGAAAGGGAACGAGAACGUGAGCGAGAUAGGUAUAGGGAGAGGGAGCGGGAUCGAGAGAGAGAUAGAGAUAGAGACGACCGGGAUAGGAGAAAAAGGAGAACUAGUCCAGAAGGAAGAAGAAGUAUACGACUGAGCGAGCGCGUGCUGGCCGCGGUGCCGCCCAUGAGCAAGGAGGAGCGUCGGAGAGCCUUCGCCGAGGCUGCGGCCGCGGCCGACGAGAGCCGUCGCCAGCGGGACCAGCGCGAGCAGACCGCCUGGCCGCGCCCGCACUACCCCGCCUGGCCGCAGGACGCCUUCGCACAGAUGUUUCCACAAGGCAUGAUUGGUGGCACGACGAAUAUGAUGGGCGGACAGAAUAUUAUGGGCGGAGCUCCAAACAUGAUGGGUGGGCCUCCGAACAUGAUGGGGGGUGGCAACAUGGUUCCGAUGGUGCCUCCCGGCGUGCCAGGCAUGAUUCCGGGUGUCAUGCCUCCCGACAUACCUCCUGAUUGGGUUGGACCUAACGGCGAAUUUCAGGGACCGCCAGGGUUCUGUCAACCAUUUCCUGGGCCGCAGUUCUGCAUGCCUCAACCUAACAUGAUGGGCAUGAGUGGGUUCGGUAUGGGCGGGUUCAUGUUCGGCCAGCAGCUGCCGCCACCCUUCCCUGCACCACAGCAACCCCCGCAGCCCGCUCUUUCGAUUGGACAUGCGGUGGAGGCUCUUGGCGCGGAGGGCGGCGAGCCCGUGCUGCCGUCCAUGUGGCGCAGCGCGCUGGACGGGCGCGGCCGCCGCUACUACUACCACGUCAAGCUGCGCCAGCCGCAAUGGGUGCCGCCGCCGCCGCCCGAGCCUGAUGAGAGCUCCUCGGAGGAAGAGGCGGAACCAAUGACUGCACUCGAAUCUGCUGUAAUAGGCCGACCUGUUAAAGGCAAACUUGUUGAGGGCGUUAACGGAAUCUAUGAAGUAAUAAAGGAGGAUUCUCACAAUGGAUUGAUCCCAGAUCACGCUCUACUCAACAUGAAACCCAGGAAACGAAGACCGGGCCUCGUGUCAGAAAGACCUAUCAGUCCCCGGACGGAAGAGGACAAGCUGGCGGGGCGCUUGGAGGUGAAGCGCUACAAGCAGACGAAGGAGAAGCUGCGGCGGCGACGCGAGCGCCUGCUGCACAAGGUGCGCCUGCUGACCGCCGCCAAGCGACGCGGGAACAUCUCGCAAAAGGACCUGAAGUUCGUCGAACUAGACGAAACGGACAGUGACUCUGAAGGAGACUCUGACGACGGCGUCCUAGACAAGAUCGCCAUCAGCUCCCCGACCGCGGAGCCCUCGCCGCCCACGCGCUCGCCCCCCGCGCCCUCGCCGCCGCCGCUCGACCCCGAGGAGAGCUCGCGCCGCAUCAAGGAACAGUUCCGCAGCAGCAUGGCGCGGGUCAUGGUGCAGCACCUCAACCCCUACCGCCACUCCGACGCGCCCGCCGGCCGCAUCACGUGCACCGCCGACUUCAAGCAUCUCGCCAGGAAGCUAACCCACUUCGUAAUGCUAAAAGAAUUAAAGCACUGUCGCUCUGUUGAAGAACUGGUAGUGACAGACUCUGUUCGUUCCAAAGCCAAGAUAUUCGUCAGAAAGUAUAUGGCGAAGUUCGGACCGAUUUACAAGAGACCGCCUGAAGAGGUUGAAUAGCGGCAGGUUUGUCAGCUAAAAGCUGCCAUAAGAAACUUGUUAUAGCUACUAGCCUGAACACUUUGUGUGAAGUGAUACUAAGUGUUAAGUGAAGUAAUUAUAAAAAACGAUGUGAAUUGUAAAUUUUGGUGAUUACUGUGAGAAUUUUUUAAAGAGAGAGUUGGAACAAUGACCUUAAUGACACAGAGGAUAAAUGUUCUACUUGGUCAAGUUUUCCUCUGAUUAGUAACUUAUGGUAAAGAUAUAACAAUUUAAGGGAAAACAGUGAGUUGCAUUACUUGUAUAUUAUCGGAGUUGUGUUCAUAAUCUAACUAUAGAUAUGUGAAAUUUUGGCAAUGAACAAGAAUAAAUAAAAAUUGAUCAGGUACAUGUUUUCUAGAACAAUAUUCUCGCUAUUAUGAUUUUUUUUUUGUUUCAUAUUUUACUGAUUAGUGUACAAAGCGAAAAGUGUGAAAGAAUUAGUAAAAAGCUUGCUUGAUUUUUUUUAAAACAAAAUGUAUAUUUUCGCAUUUGGGCAACAAAUUGUAUUGUUAAAAAAUUAUUUACUUUUUAUUUUUAUAUGCAUGGUUUUUACGCCCAUUAUAUGUAAUAAUUGUAAUGAGAGAUAUAUCUUGUACGUAAAUUAUAUCGGUCAAUUUUAGAUUCUGAAUAAAAAAAAUUAAGUGAAUGAAGAUUGCUUUGAUCCUAUGAUUUAAACUAGCUAAGUAGAUAUAAGCUCUAUGAACUUGUAAAUAUAGAUAUAUAAGAUUCUUAAAUUUCUUUUAAGCAACUCCUCAUUUAGACAUAAUAUUAUAUUUUAAAACAUAAGUCAUUAAGAGAAGGAGAUAAUGCUAAUGAGCUAUUUGUUCGUGAUCUCUAAGUGGGGUUGAAUGAUUGAUUGAUUGAUAUUGUCAAAUCAAAUGUAGACUCGAAUAUAACUUGGAAGUACAGUAUUACUGUUAGUUAAGUAACUAUGUACUAUCAUUGAAAUUAUAAAGAGCAAUUGUUUGAGUAUACAUGCGUUGUAUUUUAAAAAGAUUCCUAAAUAUUUUUUUUAAUUUAAAUUCUCAUAAUAGAUAUUAAAUGUACUGAUUGUCGAUAUCAAACGGUUUCGAUUGCAAUACAUUAAAGUGAAAAAUUAUUGCAAUAGAAUCAUGAAUUGUUUUUUUAUAUUGUUUGAAAAUGAUUUUAAUGUUAUGAAAUUUGUUAAGAAGAAAAAAUCAUCACCAUUUUAUAUUAGACAACAGUUAUUUUCAUGUCGUUAAAUGUAUAUUUUGUAAAUACAAGUCUAAGGUUGUCAGAUUGUUUUGAUAAAGAGACUAAACUAAGUGAUAGCUGUGAGUAUGAGAUGACAUAAGAAUAAACUCGGUCUCCCUAGUACGAGUUUCACUCACAAACGAAAAUAUUUGCGUUACCGAAAAAUUUAUAUGAAAAAUUCCGCCUGAGUCGCUUUAUAUAUAAACUAGCUGUGCCUUACUAUUUCACAAGCGUUUUAAUUUUUAUUACUUAUUUGAUAAUCAUGUCAGUUACAUGGCAACACUUUCCGAUGGUUGUUGCUCCGCUCCUUGUUUAAACUUACUAUCCUAAAUGCUUCCUAGUAAAUAAGCUUAAACGCAUUUUUUUAAUGCUGACUCAAUUAUUCUGUCAUUAGCGCGAUCAAUGAUACAAACUCUCGAGCUUUAUAAUAUUUAUAUAGAUUUUUCGUUAACGUAAACACUAUAGUUUGCGUUUAAACUUCUCCCUAGGGUCAUUGAUAAUAUAUAUAAGGUGUGGCAAAGAGAUCUAUGCCGUCAGAACAAAUAAAAUUUAUUUCUUUUA